CAAACUGGAGAUGGCGACCGGCGCACGGGUGAGUAACACGUAUCCAACCUGCCGAUAACUCGGGGAUAGCCUUUCGAAAGAAAGAUUAAUACCCGAUGGCAUAAUAGAACCGCAUGGUUUCAUUAUUAAAGGAUUCCGGUAAAGGAUGGGGAUGCGUUCCAUUAGGUUGUUGGCGGGGUAACGGCCCACCAAGCCUUCGAUGGAUAGGGGUUCUGAGAGGAAGGUCCCCCACAUUGGAACUGAGACACGGUCCAA
rnacentral:rRNA from 1 species